rnacentral:rRNA from 1 species
ACGGAGGGUCCGAGCGUUAUCCGGAUUUAUUGGGUUUAAAGGGUGCGUAGGCGGUUUUAUAAGUCAGCGGUGAAAUUUUCCGGCUCAACCGGGAUACUGCCGUUGAUACUGUAAGGCUAGGAUAUGGUUGCUGUGGGUGGUAUGUGUGGUGUAGGGGUGAAAUGCUUAGAUAUCACGCGGAAUAUCGAUUGCGAAGGCAGCUCACAAGGCCAGUAUUGACAGUGAGGCACGAAAGUGUGGGGAUCAAACAG